rnacentral:rRNA from 1 species
GACGUAGGAGGCGAGCGUUAUCCGGAUUCACUGGGCGUAAAGCGCAUGUAGGCGGUUGGAUAAGUCCGUUGUUAAAGCCCCUGGCUCAACCUGGGAAUGGCAAUGGAUACUGGCAAGCUAGAGUGCGGUAGAGGGUAGUGGAAUUCCCGGUGUAGCGGUGAAAUGCGUAGAGAUCGGGAGGAACACCAGUGGCGAAGGCGGCUACCUGGACCAGCACUGACACUGAGGCACGAAAGCGUGGGGAGCAAACAGG